UGUCUGUUUUUCUUUUUAUUAUUAAAUUAUACAAUUCUGAGAAAUGCCAAAUGAUUUGAAGGGUUAGAUAAACCAUAAGAUUAAAUUACAGCAGCUUCUUUCCUUCCCACCUUAUUAUUGUGGUAGACUGUAACAGAUUUUUUUAAGUUGGGUUUUUAUGUAGUUUGAUUGAAACUUGAUGUAUCUCAGAAAGCAGAACGGUCUAAUGAUUUAAAAAGAAAAAAGGGGUGAACCCUCACAUAAGUAAAAGGCUGUGUAGGCGCAUAAGAGCUCUAUUUAUUUCAAAUUGAUAGCACUUGAAAAAGCUGAAUUCGUCAGUAAAAUUCAUUUUCAAACUUUUUUCCUGACUUCCUCCCACUCUUGACAGUUCGCAACAUUAAAAAUUUUUUAUUAAAGUCUAAAGAAAUAUUGUAAAGAAAAGAGGGCACCUGAAUUAUAUGGAGAAAGAAAUAAUUGCCAGAUAUGGUUUCUCAGAGGAGCCUAAUAUUUUGUUUCCAUUUACAAGGUACUGCAAAUUUGUAAGUAGAUCAGCUUCUUUAUUUAACUAAAAGUGCCCUUGUAUAACUUGCUACUUUACUACAUAACAAAAUGUUCUAAUGGACAGUUUAGGAUCUGUGAAAAUCCAAUUAUCCAGAUAGAAAACCGGACUUGUAAUAUACAUUAGCUUUAGUUAUAGAAUUUCUUUUCAAAUUAGGCUACCAUACAAUGCCUUAGUGACCCAUGUUGAAUCUCUCUAACUCCUGAUGAGGGCUUCUUUCCACGCUCUCUGCAAUGCUGUACCACCUAGUUAAUUCUAGAAGAAAAAUAAGAGAGCAUCAGGUGCACCAGUUACUACAUAAGGAAACUGGACUAGGAAGACCUCUUCUUCAAAGCCUAGAGGCCUUCAGUUACCGGGAGCUUCCCGGUGGUGCUGCAGCUUCCACUGCGGAUGCCCAAAGCCUGUGCUUCCUGGAUGUUCCCGGUAGGAGAUGAGAAGAUGAAGUUUCACUGUUUUGCCUAAGCUGGUCUUGAACUCCUGGGAACUGCCUGCCUCAAGCUCCAUUCUGUGACUAUACAAGUUGAGAAAAAGUAUUGUUUAUGGUGUGGAAGAAGAACCAUUGCUUUCAAGAAUGGGUGGAGGGAUACAAACAGAAGUGACUCAUGCCUGUGUCAGAUCUUUUGAAUAAAAAGGUGUUACUAUGGCUUCAUGGCCAGCAUGUGAUCAGCUGCUGGCAACUGUUACCUUACAAAGAAAAAACAUGGUUUUGUACAGUGACUGAAGGGUGACCAGAAAGCUGAGUGGGAUGUCUCACAUUUUGGAUUAUUAAUUCCAACCCACUACUUGGCUUUUAAGCCAAUCCAGCUCUUCGUCAUGCAGACUUUAUAAACUGAUCCUUCUAAAACCUUUUAUUCCUGUGUUACACUUUCUAAACUGUGGUCACUUAAGCAACAGCUUUGUACAAAAGGACAUAGAAUUAGCUCAAAGCCAGUACAGCACAGCUCUGAAGAGCACACUCUGGCAUUCCACUUGCAGCAAUACUAAAUACAGAAUGACAAGCCCCUUUUUCCUUCCUUCAGAGGUGGCUCUGAAUGGUUUUACUUGGAGUAUGCCAGCAAAAGCCCACAUGCCAAGUGAUGCUUGAAUUUAUGCUAAUCAAUUCCUCCUUCUCCAGUUCUGGAGUAUAAGUCAGGAUGUCCCAGUGGAAGUUUUCCUUUCAAAAAGCAAUGUCAUCAAUAGUGAUACUGUUCUGAGCCUCCAGUCUGUUACAUGUCUCACCACAGAUUAUGGGCCCAUCACCAUCAGCUAGAAGUGGUGAGGACUUUUAUUAUCUGAAGCCAUAUUAGAACUGCCAGGCCAGAAGAUUAUGAUUUGUCACUGAAUGUAGCUAUAUGGAGAAUUGUAUGUGGAGUAUAUAAAACCUUUUCUGUGUCUCAUUUGCAUUGCAAAUAGGGAAGCUAACCAGAGUUCUUGAAUAAAUAACAUAAAUAAAACAUGGCUUUACUAUGGUAAAUGUUCCAUUCAUGCCAGAGGAAGCCAAAACCAUUACAGUGGAUUGUUUCCAUCUAAACAGUUCUAUCUCACACACCUCCCCUUUAAAGGGGCUGCCAAUAGGAUGGGGACCUGGUAGACAGCUUUGGAAAACACUCAGUAGAGGGAGCCUCAGGGGCUUUUUAGAAAGCAUGAUUCAUCACCCUGUAUUUUGUUUUGUUUUGAAUAUCCUCAUGACUAAGGGAGAAACAGUAGCCUGCUCUUCAACUCAGUCCAUGCCUGAGAGACCAGCCCAGAGCUCUAUGAAAGGCCAGGACCAGACAAAGCCUAUCAUCUGAGACUGAGAAAAAUACUACGUAACUCAAUGCAAAAGGCUGAAUUAGUCUACAGACCACAUUAAAGGGCAGUCAAUAUUUGAACUUCAACUCUAGUGGACGUUCAUUACGCUUCUGCCUGGCAUUUGCUCCUUCUUCUUGUGAUAGUAGUGGCCUGUUUCAUGUAUGUGCUUUGUGAUCCUUUCAUGCUUUCUAAAGGGAGUGCAUAUGCAGGAUAAGACAACUGAUGCUCCCCACUCUCUGGUCAUUGAAUCAGAGACAAAAGAACCCAAAUGCACCACAAAUCUUGCCAGUGAUGAUAGAAUUCAUUUCUGUGAAAUUCAUUUCUGUUGGAGAAAAGGACCCUUUCAUUUGCCUACCUUGUGCUUUGAGCAGAGGAUUGAGGCUUGGAGUUGCAGCCAGAAAAUGGAGCCGACAGACAGAAGCAGGCUGAGAGGCAGAUGAAAGAUAUGAAGAGCCUAAUGAAGGACAGUUUAAUGCCUUGUGCACUUAGGCCUGAAAACAGCCCUAUGCUGUGACCCAUGUAACAAAGCAAUGCUUUCUCUUGCUGCUUGCAUCAGUUAUGAUAGGAGCUACUGGCCACACACUCUUUUCCACCAUGACCGUUUCACAUCAUCCCAUCUUGGACUUCCUUCUUGGAGCCCCCACGCUGACUCAUGUGAGUGCUCACCCAUCAGUUCACUCAGGGUACCAGUGUUCUCCUGCAUCCAAGCUUUACUCAUGGUGCCGGUUCCUUAGAAAUCUCACCUUUCUUUUUCCUCAUGGCAAAACCCAUUGACUGACCCUCACGGCUGAAGCCAACCUCACCUGCUCAGUAAGGUGUGCAUUAAUUAGUACUUUACCCCACUCUCUAUGAGGAAAAUCUAAGAGUUUCCUGUUUUUAUCCUCAUGAUCAUUUCCCUUAGUCUGUGAAACCUUAAUACGUCAUGAGGACACUCUUUUGAGACUUCCAGCUCUCCCAUGAGGCUGUGAGUUCUUUAGUAUUAGGGUCUGUAUUGAUUUGUCAUUCAGAGUAGGCAGCAGUGUUGUAACAGGCUGUCUCUGGAACCAGAAUAAAUGGGUUUAAAUGCUGGAUCUGCUGCUUCCUAGGAUGUGAUUUAAAUACCUUACCCACCCUCUCCAUGCCUCAGUUUACUCAUCUGUAAAAUAAAUGAUAGUAUUAAUGCCCAUUUUAUAGAUUACUAUGAGGAUGAAAUGAAUAUUUCCUUGAAGUACUUCAUGCAGUGCCUGGAACAUGGUAAAAGUUCAGUAAAUAUUAGCUGUUAAUGAAUGGCAUAAAUAGGUAUUUAAAAAUAUAAUUGCAACCAUCAAAAGCUGGCUUAUAUCCAGUAAGCCUUAUAGCAAAAGUAGAAAAGAAACAGAAAUAAGGAAUAAUUUCUUAUAAUUCCAUUCUUAAAUUCAUAUAUUCUUUCAAACAAAUGUGAGAUGUUACGGAAAACUUAGCUGUUUUGAGGAGAUUCAUUCAUAUACCUGUAUUUGAUGCAAAGACAUUACUAAAGGAGCAUUUUGUUUGGUCCUAGGAAUCAGAAUUGAUUCAGAUAACAGCAUUGACAUCAAGGCUUAUUGUCUAGUAGUCUGUGCAAUAGAGACGUGUGUGCACCUGGAGCUGCUGCAUAUGAUCAUCCAAGGGGUGUGUUAAAAGACACAGCAGUUCAGGCUCCAAUGUCAGAAACACCAAGUCUAAGAUUGAGUAUUUGUAUUUGUAACAGAUCUCAUGAGAACAGAUCGUCUAUGCUUCCUGGCAUAGAAGACAGGAUAAUCUUUACCUUUAUAGUCAAGUAAGGAUUUUUACCAGAAAUGCAUGUGCUGGGGUCUUACAGAAAGUAAGAGCUUGUUAAACUGUCACAUGAGAAAAGAGUUGAGCUUCAAGCAUAGCUGUCCAGGUACUACUGUCAAAGAUAGUGCCCAAUGCCUGAACAGUGUUCCAGUGUUAAAAGUAUUUAACAUUAUUAUUAUUAUUAUUAUUAUUAUUAUUAUUAUUUCACUCCGGUUCCAACCCAGCUGCACAGUGAAUUACCUGAAAGGCACUUGAAAAUUAAGAGACAUUUGUAAUCCAUCCUCAGAUGUUCAGGUUUGGUUAGUCUAAGUCAAAGCCAAAAGUCAGUACUUUUGUUUGCCAGUUGAAUCCAGAGACUUAUGUAUGCCAGGCUAACACUCUACCACUGAUCCACACCUCUAACCUCAACUCUCAGUCCUUUUAAACAAGCCCAGGUGAUCGCACAUGGACAGUAAAAAAUCUCCAUGCAGGCAUCCCAUGGUAUCCCUGGAAGACUUUGGGGCCACUGUGUGCUCCUGGGCUGGAAUCAGACUUGCGUCUUUCUUCUGGGUGCCAAAAGAGGUCAGGCCUCUUGCUUGAAGAAAUUUUACAGAGGCUGAUCAAAACCACAAUCCAAAGGCUUAUAUAAAGCAAGUGGAUAUUUUUAGCAUAAAACAGGAUGUAACAAGUUAGAUAUGUCAGCCACCAAGUAAUUAAUUGAUUUAAUUGUUAAUGUCAAAACAUGCCUACAGUAUGAAAAACACAUUAAAGAGCAUACAUGUACUGGUUCUGUAGUUCUGUGAUUGUACACAACCUCACACAGAGAUCAGACCAAACAUCUCUGUGAGGCUACAUGCUCGAGAGGCCCAGGCAAACGGCCUUCUCUCUGAGACUCCCAUUGGCUGGUAUAACAGUUCUUCAAACUCACUUCUGGUAAAGAACUCCAGAUUUAAGUCAAGCACUAUUUAUGUAAGUGGGACUCUAGAAUCUAUUUUUUGAGCCCCGAGGAUGUAACAUAACUGUCCAAACUGGCAUCUGAGAACCACUGAAAUUUAUUACCUUUAGCACUUUUUAACUCUGACGACCCAAAUAAACAAAGCACUCUCCGUAUCUUCAGAAUCUUCAGCCAUGGGAGUAAGGGAAUAAAUAUGCUUUUCUUUGUUUCCAUUUUGAUAUUUUAAAAUACUUUUAUUGGGUGGUCAUAUUUCUGUAGUGAUCUUUUUUGUUUUUCCAACUGAGUUUUCACACACCAUAAAGUGCUUGUGGGAAUCAUUGUUGCCCCCCUCCCUUAUUCAUUCUUUUUGACUGGUAAUAGCAUCUUAAUGGGGCAUCUCUUCUACUGUCAGUAAAGAUGCUUGUCUGUGAUCCCAGCUAAGAUAAUCAGGUUUCCUCUCCCAAAUCUUUGGACCUUGAAUGGAACAAUGCCAGGAUAGGAAGAAACAAAAAAAUGGUUGGUGUCAACAGUUGUCAGAUGAGACAGUCAUUUGGAUACCAAGAUACCCUGAGCUGCUGUGUUUACUCAGCUAGACUUUCAGCUUGCUACCUAUGUUCUGCCAAUACUUUUCUGUUUUGCUGAAGUUAACUAGAGGUGAUUUCAGUUGCUUGCAACUAAGGAACCAUGUAAGAUACAAUGUUCAAACAAUAUAGUGAUCCCUGUGUCCAUCUGCCUACCAGUGUAGUCUGAGAUCACAGGAUCCGGUAGAUUAUACAUAGAGCUGGCUAAUGUCACUUGUGAUACAAUGAGAUCAUGUGACUAACCUUGGCUGCUGGGUGGAUGCAUGAGAGUCAUAAAGCUUAGAAAAUGAAAGCUCUGCAUAGUCAAACACACUGUUCACAAAUGAACAGAACCAGCAAAUAAGAAAGGUUGGGGAGGUAGGAGACUAAUCAUAGUGAAUUUGGAAGUACAAAGUUUUAAAACAAACUCAUAACCGAGAUUAAUAAGUGAAAUCUAUAAGAAAUGAUAAGCAAUAUUUAGAAUUCAUGGCUUCACAAGCCCAAAGCCUAGUGAAUGGUGGCAAGUUACACGCCUUCCUAGAAAUGAAACUAGGUCACUGUUUACCACAGGAAAUGUGGAAAUGUGGUAAAAAAAUGCUUAUGAAUUUGCAUCUUAAUAAAAUAACCAAUUAGGAAUAAAGUCAAUGUUUACUUUUCUCAUUUUUUGCUGUAGCUACUGAAUUAAAAAUGCAUUAAAGAUGUACAAUCAUAUGUAUACUUGUCAUCUUAGGUGUUUGUUAUAGUAAUGGCAAGUUGAUGAAGCUAUCUCUCUCUCUCUCUCUCUCUCUCUCUCUCUAUAUAUAUAUAUAUAUAUAUAUAUA